UGGUCAUUUAGAGGAAGUAAAAGUCGUAACAAGGUUUCCGUAGGUGAACCUGCGGAAGGAUCAUUAGACAAGCCGGGUGACGCCAGUGGGGCGGCCACCCAGAGCACCAAACCACAGCUGCGUACAAUGCCAUGUUGCUUCCCCGGGCCAGCGGCCGUCGCCGCCCGUCGGCGAGACACAGGCGUGGAUCGCCGCGCGGAGGCGCCCGGGGGUGGGGCUCCCGCCCCUCAAAACUAAAACGUCGGGAGCAUUGGACUGUCUGACCUGGGCCACAUUGGGCCGCCGAAAACUUGACAAGUUAAAACUUUCAACAACGGAUCUCUUGGCUCUCGCAUCGAUGAAGAACGCAGCGAAAUGCGAUAGGUAAUGUGAAUUGCAGAACUCAGUGAAUCAUCGAAUCUUUGAACGCACAUUGCGCCCUGGGGCAUUCCUCAGGGCAUGCCUGUCCGAGCGUCAGUGCAAACCACCUCACGGAAACACGUGGUGCUGGCGGAGGUGUGGUGUCUGAUCGGGCCGCGAUGGCGGCCCGGUCCUCCCCACCCCGCCGAAAUGUAUGGGGAGCAACACGCAUUGGCGGACCCGACUUGGUAGACGCUGUGGUUAGCGUGGAGCAGUCGCGGGGCCAUUGCUGUCCCUCCCGCCUCGAGCCCGUGGCGGCAUCUCCGGGGCAUCUCGUCAGGUUUGACCUCGGAUCAGGUAGGGGUACCCGCUGAACUUAAGCAUAUCAAUAAGCGGAGGAAAGAAACCAACAGGGAUUGCCUCAGUAACGGCGAGUGAAGCGGCAGAGCUCAAAUUUGAAAUCUGGCGCCCCGCAGGCGUCCGAGUUGUAAUUUGGAGAGGCAUCUUCAGGAGGGGGCCCGGCCUAUGUUCCUUGGAACAGGGCGUCGCAGAGGGUGAGAAUCCCGUUCUUGGCCGGACAGCCCCUCCGGUGUGCAGUGUCUUCUACGAGUCGAGUUGUUUGGGAAUGCAGCUCAAAAUGGGUGGUAAAUUUCAUCCUAAAGCUAAAUAUGGGCGAGAGACCGAUAGCGCACAAGUAGAGUGAUCGAAAGAUGAAAAGCACUUUGAAAAUAGAGUCAAACAGCACGUGAAAUUGUUGAAAGGGAAGCGCUUGAGACCAGACUCGGCCAUGGACUAAACAGCUGUCCCUUCUGGGCGGUGCACUUGUCCUUGGCCGGGCCAGCAUCGGUUGGGAACGGCGGGACAAAGGCUGGGGGAAUGUGACUCCCUUGAGGAGUGUUAUAGCCCCCGGCGCCAUGCCGCCCGCCCCGACCGAGGACCGCGACUUCGGCUAGGAUGCUGGCGUAAUGGUCUUCAGACGGCCCGUCUUGAAACACGGAACCACGU
rnacentral:rRNA from 1 species